GACAAACGCUGGCGGCGUGCAUAAAACAUGCAAGUCGGACGAGCCAAUCCCCGCAAGGGAAAGGCUGGUGGCGAACGGCUGAGUAACACGUAGGUGAUCUGCCCUGAAGUGGGGGAGUAACGACUCGAAAGAGUCGCUAAUACCGCAUGUGACCAUCGAUUCGUUUUCGAUGCUCAAAGUCGUAAGACGCUUUAGGAGGAGCCUGCGGCGGAUUAGCUAGUUGGGA
rnacentral:rRNA from 1 species